GACGAACGCUGGCGGCGUGCUUAACACAUGCAAGUCGAACGAUGAAGCCGGAGCUUGCUCUGGUGAAUUAGUGGCGAACGGGUGAGUAACACGUGAGUAACCUGCCCUUGACUCUGGGAUAACUGCUAGAAAUGGUAGCUAAUACCGGAUACGACCCUCGGAGGCAUCUCCAGGGGGUGGAAAGAAUUUCGGUCAAGGAUGGACUCGCGGCCUAUCAGCUAGUUGGUGAGGUAACGGCUCACCAAGGCGACGACGGGUAGCCGGCCUGAGAGGGGGACCGGCCACACUGGGACUGGGACACGGCCCAGACUCCUACGGGAGGCAGCAGUGGGGAAUAUUGCACGAUGGGCGCAAGCCUGAUGCAGCAACGCCGCGUGAGGGAUGACGGCCUUCGGGUUGUAAACCUCUUUUAGUAGGGAAGAAGCGAAAGUGACGGUACCUGCAGAAAAAGCACCGGCUAACUACGUGCCAGCCGCCGCCGUAA
rnacentral:rRNA from 1 species